rnacentral:rRNA from 1 species
CCUACGGGAGGCAGCAGUGGGGAAUAUUGCACAAUGGGCGCAAGCCUGAUGCAGCCAUGCCGCGUGUAUGAAGAAGGCCUUCGGGUUGUAAAGUACUUUCAGCGGGGAGGAAGGUGUGAGGUUAAUAACCUCAUUGACGUUACCCGCAGAAGAAGCACCGGCUAACUCCGUGCCAGCAGCCGCGGUAAU